GCCAGGAGAGCUUCACGUGGUCUCUCUUCCACCGGUAGACUAGCAUAGGCUUCCUUACAUGGUGACUGCAGGUUCCAAAGAGUAGCAGGAGCAAGCCCCAGAACACAAGUGAUUUUCAGGCUUCUUCCUGAUUCACCUUUUCAUAACCCUUGGCAAAAGCAAGCCGUGUGUCCAGUUGGGAAGGAACUCUCCAGGGUCAUGGAUCCAGGGAAGUGUGACUCCUUAGGGACCAUUACUGCAGUAAUCUACCAUAGCCAGACAUAGCAUCC
rnacentral:lncRNA from 1 species